UACGUAGGGUGCGAGCGUUGCCCGGAUUUAUUGGGCGUAAAGGGCGCGUAGGCGGCUCUGCACGUCCGUUGUGAAAUCGCCCGGCUCAACUGGGCGGGGUCAGCGGAUACGGCAGAGCUCGAGCAAGCUAGGGGGCAAUGGAAUUCCCGGUGUAGUGGUGGAAUGCGUAGAUAUCGGGAGGAACACCGGUGGCGAAGGCGGCUCACUGGCCCGAUACGUGACGCUGAGGCACGAAAGCGUGGGGAGCAAACAGGG
rnacentral:rRNA from 1 species